rnacentral:lncRNA from 1 species
CUUUUUCUGUGGUAGCGCCCCUCCCACGUGGAAGGCAUUCCCAGUCCUAUCGUAUUCUACAUGUACAGCACUGAGGUUUGUUAGUGUGAGAAGCCCAAGAGAAAGACCAUGUUAUUACAGAGGGUUAAAAAAAACAUUGAGCUACUUUUAUAAACUACAAAAGUAAUAUGUGCUCAUGGUAAAAAUCUCAAAAUUAAAAAUACAGAAUGUUGUAAAACAAACAAUAAAAAGACCGCUCUGAUUUCCUAGGUUAAAAAACUGCCCUGGGUUCUUCCUUCUAUAAUUUUAUAUACAGUUAAACACAUUUUUAAACAUAGAUGGGGUCAUAUUAUACAUAGUCUUCUGCAUCUUGUUUUGUUUUAGGUACCUGACCAAUAUGCAAACUGACUGCUAACAUAGUCGCCUUCCAAAGAUGAUUCAGCCUUGAUGUGGACAGGUUUACAAAAAGAGUCCAACCAGCAUAUGUUUCUAUGAAUCUGCCAUCAUCAGGUACGGUGCAUUUGCUUAACUGCUCUGUCUCCUGGCAUUGAUUGUUUGCUGUGGUUCACUGUGCUAGGCAAGGGGACUAAAGAGUUGAGUAACAUGGAGUUCCUACUCUGGACUUUAUCUGAGGAGGGAAACAGAUAUAUGCAGGUGAUAGUGUUUGGUUCUGUGUCCCCACCCAAAUCUCAUAUUGAAGUGUAAUCCCCAUGUGUGGAGGGAGGGAGCUGGCAUAGGUGAUUGGCUCAUUGGGGGUGGUUCCCCCAUGCUGUUCUCGUGAUAGUGAGUGAGUUCUCACGAGAUCUGAUGGUUUUAAAAGCGGCACUUCCUCCUUCACUCUCUCUCUCUCCUUCCACCUUGUGAAGAAGGUGCCUGCUUCCCCUUCACCUCCCACCAUGACUGUAAGUUUCCUGAGGUCUCCUGUAAGUUCCUUCAACCAUGCAGAACUAUAAAUAGAGCAGAAUUUGAAAUGCAAGAUAACUUUCUGGAGCCCAAGAUAAAACAUUCAAAAAUAAGUGGGAAUCCUGGGCACAGUGGCUAAUGCCCGUAAAGCCAACACUUUAGGAAUACAAGGCAGGAGGAUCACCGGAGCUCAGGAGUUCAAGACCAGCCUGGGCAACAUAGCAAGAACCCAUAUCUACAAAAAACAACAACAACAACAAAAAAAAUUAGCUGGGCAUAGCCAUGUAUGCCUGUGGUUCCAGCUACUCAGGAGGCUGAGGUGAGUGGAUUGCUUGAGCUUGGGAGGUCAAGGCUGCAGUGAGCCAUGACCACACCACUACCCUCCAGCCUGGGCAAUAGAGUGAGACCCCCUGUGUCAAACAAACAAACAACCACAACUAAAAAACCUAAAAUGUAAAUGGGUAAGCAGAG